rnacentral:rRNA from 1 species
GAGCAAGUUAAUAAGGGCACACGGUGGAUGCCUUGGCGCCAAACGCCGAUGAAGGACGUGGGACACUGCGAUAAGCCUCGGGAAGCCGUGUACAGGUGUAGAUCCGAGGAUUUCCGAAUAGGGAAACCUGCCGCUGCGAUCCAGCGGCAUCCCGACCUGAACACAUAGGGUCGGUGAAGGGAACCUGGGGAACUGAAACAUCUUAGUACCCAGAGGAAAAGAGAUCAUUCCCCUAGUAGUGGCGAGCGAACGGGGAUCAGCCCAAACCAGUCAGGCUUGCUUGACUGGGGUUGUAGGGCUCGACAUUUGGAAGUUACCAAUCCGGCGGCUAGUAGAAUGGUAUGGAAAAGCCAACCACAGCGGGUGACAGUCCCGUAUACGAAAGCUGCUGGACUUCCGUCGAGUUCCUGAGUACCACCGGGCACGCUAAUCCGGUGGGAAUCUGGGGAGUCCACUCUCCAAGGCUAAAUACGUUUGGCGACCGAUAGUGAACAAGUACCGUGAGGGAAAGGUGAAAAGCACCCCGGUAAGGGGAGUGAAAUAGAACCUGAAACCGUGUGCCUACAAGCAGUCGAAGGGCUAAUGGCGGGUCUGUGCGCCGGUGAAAACCGGCUGUGCGCCGCUAGGCCUGACGGCGUGCCUUUUGGAG